rnacentral:lncRNA from 1 species
UCCGAUCGAAAAGGAGUUUAAUGUGCAACAAAGGCCAAUUUAGGUUUCUCCUCCCCACCUUGAGGCAAAACUGAUAUACGGAUGUUUCAAUCAAGAGAUCGCGAGUGCUUAAAGCCAAGAGAAUAGAGAAUUUGAGUGUUUCCCUGCCCGAUUUCUUCAUUUGAUCACGAGUGCUUAAAGCUCUGGCGAGGAGUGAUGACAACAGCUUACCCGAGAGUAGAGCAGACGACGGCGAGAUACAUAAUGGAAAUACAGGCUCAGAAGAAGGUUUAUUUACUCUACAACCACACUGAUGCGUGCAAGUUCUCCAGGUGGAAUGCUAGGUUAAUUACUCUUACUCAUCAGUUGAAUUCCAUAGUUUCUUUCUGCUAAUUAAUCGGAUUGGGAGGGCGACUUAUAUAAUAAAAACAAGUGGAUUCGUGUUCUAAGAAGCUCUUGAUUUUAGUUUAAUAUUGACUUAAUAAGGUUUUAAGUCUACUGAGUUCAAUUCUUGAGAGGGAAUUUUAUUUUUUACUUUUUAGUUAGCUUAGCUAUAGUUAUUUUGUUUCGUUAGAUAAUGUAGAAUUCACUUGUUGUGGCAGGGAGUCUUACCAGUUCAUGUAUGCAAGGCCAUGGCAAAAAGUUGUAGAUUUUUACUCGAAUUUGGUGAAGAGUAACAUAUCUUUAUUNNN